rnacentral:lncRNA from 1 species
UGGUCGUUAGUGAUAUUACAUUGUUUCCUUGAGAUUUAUUGGAUUUUCUUGUGUUUAUUCUGCUCUUAUUUGGCUCAAUAUUUAAUCUGUUGUGUGCUUGCGAUUGGGUAUAUGCUUAGUUUCCUAAUCGAUGUUUAAUCUUCGCUUAGUUGAUUAAACUGUAUGGUGCAUGACUGAUUAAAUUUGUGUAUUGCAUUCGCUUAGUCUGCAAUUCUGAAGACCGAGUUACCCUUCGCUUAGUUGGGUGAUUCGUGUUGGAUUUGGAUUAGAGUAGUGUGUACUUGUCGUUAAUAUGUGAUUGGAAGCAUAGUAAUUGAGUUAAUGACCAAUCGUUUUUAUCCUGUAUUUGAUUCCGUCUUUGCAUUCCUGUUUACAUUUUGUUUCGCAUUUCUGUUUUCACAUUUCUGCUUGCAUCCGUGAUUUAAUUUAAUUCAUCAGCAUUCACAAACUUUUCACAACCC